AACGAACGCUGGCGGCGCGCCUAAUACAUGCAAGUCGAGCGAGAAGACGUAGCAAUACGUUUGUAAAGCGGCGAACGGGUGAGGAAUACAUGGGUAACCUACCCUUGAGUGGGGAAUAACUAGCCGAAAGGUUAGCUAAUACCGCAUACGACUCUCGGUCUGCGGAUCGGGAGAGAAAGCGAUACCGUGGGUAUCGCGCUCUUGGAUGGGGCUCAUGUCCUAUCAGCUUGUUGGUGAGGUAACGGCUCACCAAAGGCUUUCGACGGGUAGCUGGUCUGAGAGGACGAUCAGCCACACUGGCACUGCGACACGGGCCAGACUC
rnacentral:rRNA from 1 species